UCACUUUCUGUUUCACCUGCACUGCAUGGCUGAGAGCUCACACUCUGUUAUCAAAAUCCUCUAUUCUCCUGGAUCAAAGCCACUCUCCAGGUUCAGCGGUCUCCCGGCUGUCUUCUCUUCUCAGGGUCCUGAGAAGAGCGAGCAGGAGGAGUGGGUCAUAAGUGAUGCCGUUAACAGGAAAAUUACAGAAUUAAAAUAUCGACUGAAGGAAACAGUGAAGACCUCAGCAGAUUUACAGAAAUAAUUUUUAUAAUGCAAUUAAGUUUCAAAAAUGUUAACAGAGUGUUGUACAAGUGUUUUUCUAUUGUAUUCUAUUGUAUUUCUACAUGAUAAUAUAAUACAAGAUUU